rnacentral:rRNA from 1 species
AACGAACGCUGGCGGCAUGCCUAACACAUGCAAGUCGAACGAGACCUUCGGGUCUAGUGGCGCACGGGUGCGUAACGCGUGGGAACCUGCCCUUAGGUUCGGAAUAACUCCCCGAAAGGGGUGCUAAUACCGGAUAAUGUCUUCGGACCAAAGAUUUAUCGCCUUUGGAUGGGCCCGCGUUGGAUUAGCUAGUUGGUAGGGUAAAAGCCUACCAAGGCGACGAUCCAUAGCUGGUCUGAGAGGAUGAUCAGCCACACUGGGACUGAGACACGGCCCAGACUCCUACGGGAGGCAGCAGUGAGGAAUAUUGGACAAUGGGCGAAAGCCUGAGCCAGCAAUGCCGCGUGAGUGAUGAAGGCCUUAGGGUUGUAAAGCUCUUUUACCCGGGAUGAUAAUGACAGUACCGGGAGAAUAAGCGCCGGCUAACUCCGUG